rnacentral:tRNA from 1 species
UAGUCUAGUGGUUAAGGCUAUGGAUCGCCAAUCCGAAGACGGCGGGUUCGAUUCCCGC